ACUGCAGUAGUGAAAAUCAAGCGCACUAUGGGCGGAAACUAGGAAGACACUUAAACAUAAAGAUGAAGUGCCUAAUUCAAGGUCACACAAUGUCGGGGAUGGACCUCCAGAUUUCCUUACUGACCUGCAUUAUCUGUGGAUAUCUGAGUGAAUUACACACCACCCAUUUUAUAGAUGAAGCCACUGAGACAUGGAGCAACUGACUGAGUAGUCACUGCCCCACCCCUGGAGCCUCACACAUGACUCGUCUCCUCUCUCUCAGUGACCACAGGUUGGUUGAGGGGUUUGACAAGGCUAAGAAGUUACUUAUCCUGUAUUACAUGAGGGAAAUGAAACAAAAAGACUACAGCCCCACUCCCAGCUACUCCGUGAGGUGGUAGCUAGAUCAGUCUGCACAAAAGGAAUUUCUACCUCUCCCUACUUUGUAAAUGCAGCCUGACAAAUUUGUGCUUCACUUAGGAUUAUUUAGUUAGAAGGUAAGACAUGGUCUUGUACCACAGUGGUUAAGAAUGUGACUUUGGAGCCAGCCUGCUAGGGGAUGAAUUCUGACUCAGCCAUUUACUAACUGGGUGACCUUAGUUCCCUGAGCACAUGCUGUUGAGUAAUCCUGCCUGGACCAGUCCUUCCCUCACCCUAGACUUCACCUUCAGUUCCCCUUUAUACCACCUGCUGAAGCUGCCAGCCAGCCUUUUCCACCACCCUCCCUCCCCCAAGGGUGUUUGGCUUCUCAGACCCUAGCCUGAGCUAGUGCCCUUGGCUCACUAGGGUCUUGCCAGGAAAGUCAAAGGAGAACAUACAUACUGCCAAAGAGUUCCUAAUAAUGAGAAUUCCCAUGCUGAAUUGUGAUUUAUAGUCAGCAUAGCACAUGUGUCACAUGAUUAUACUUAGGCUGAUUUUAGCCCGAAUAAUCUGCUUCUGUGAUCCUGUAUGUGGAAAACCUAGAAAUUUCUCUGUGAUCCUCCUUCCUGGAUCACUAAGAGAUAAGUCAAGACAUAGGUUCAUUGUACCACCUGUAUUAAUCUGGGCCUUGUUGAGACCAUUUAAAAAAGGUGUGAUGCUAGAAGUAAGGUCCAGGCCUCCCACACACAGUUUCAAGGCUGUGACCAUAGUCAAAUCCUGUUGCUUUGAGUCCAAAGAGUUUAAAAUAGUGUUGGAAACCUCCUAGGGAAAACAAAAAAACAACACCAUAACUUCCUGGGUAAGGAAGUGACAUGUGCUGACUAGAGCAGGAGGGGUAGCCAAGGCUCCAAGUUCUAUUCUGGACCUGCUGUUGAUUUGAGGUGUGACAUUCAGCAAUCUGAGCUGAUGUUCUGUAGCUCGGAUUGGUUUCUCAUCUUCCGCAGAGAGAGUGAAAAGAGGCUGUGCUUGCAGUGGAAAAGGUGAAUACUGGUCUCUUGUCCUUUAGGAGAACCUCACCAUUGCACAUCCUGCCUCUCAUUUGAAUUUCCAGGCUUCUUUUUUAGAGUCUCGCUCUGUUGCCCAGCUUGGAGUGCAGUGGUGUGAUCUUGGCUCACUGCAACCUCUGCCUCUGGGUUUAAGUGAUUCUCUCACCUCAGCCUCCCAAGUAGCUGAAAUUAUAGGUGUGUGCCAUCAUGCCUGGCUAAUUUUUGUUUUUUAGUAGAGAUGGGGUUUCACCAUGUUGGCCAGGCUUGUCUCGAACUCCUGACCUCAAUUGAUCCACCUGCCUCGGCCUCCCAACCAGGCUUCUUUUUUAAAUGCAGAAAUACCCCCCAACCCAGAGUUAGUAUAGAAACCCAGCAAUGUUGUUUAUGUUUUACUUGAAUUCAUUUCAUCAGAAUUGCAUUCCUUUUAACAGUGUGAUUAGAUCAGCUCUUGUAGGGGAUGGCAGCUUCAAUAGGGUUUAGUAAAGAAAAGAUUUGUGUGGGGCACACACAUUGGCUUUGAUAGCUUGAGGAUACCAGGUACAUGAUAGUUUAGAUGGAUAACAGAAACUUGUGUCCGUUGAGAGCCAGGCAUGUAUUAGAUGCUUUCAUAUAUAAUUUAAUUGUAGUACAAACCAAUAAAGUAUUCCCAUUUUUUGCACGUGAGCAAGCUGAAAAAGAAGUUAUAUAACUUGUCCAAGGUCACACAGCUAAUAAAAGGGCUGAGCUAGGAUUUAUUUCUCCUCAAGUCUGUACAACGCCAAAACCCAUGCUGUUUUCACAGAGCUUUUCUGUCCCUGGUGAGAUUUAGGAAAGGGUGGGAGAAAGAAGGGUGAUGAGAUGCUGUCUUUACCUACCUCGCGAUUUGCUUGUUGGUACGUGUUUAGCUAGAACAUUCUGUUUAUAGAGUACUAGAUUCUAUAUAUAGAGAUGCUGCAACAACAUAUGUGGGAAAGAUACCAAUUGGCUGUAGGUGAGGAUUUCAAGAAGUCUUUGUUCUUCAUCACAGUGUAGGCCACACGUGUCAAAACACCACUGGUAAUUGGUUUGCUACUAAAGUGGCUCUGUCUUAUCAUCUACAUAAAAUCUGUGGAUGUGGCUCACAAAGUCAGCUGUGAUGGGGCUAGAGGUGAGGGUGUGGUGUGUUACUGCAUGUACUGGAGCUGGUGGCACCUGUUUUGUGACUGUUAACAUUGAAUGAUUACUGAGUAAAUAAGAGGUGUCUCGGCCAGGCGCGGUGGCUCACACCUGUAAUCCCAGCACUUUGGGAGGCCGAGGCGGGCGGAUUACCUGAUGUCGGUACUUUGAGACGAGCCUGACUGACAUGGAGAAACCCUGUCUCUACUAAAAAUACAAAAUUAGCUGGGCAUGGUGGCUCAUGUCUGUAAUCCCAGCCACUUGGGAGGCUGUGGCAGGAGAAUCGCCUGAACCCGAGAGGGAGAUCGUGUCAUUGCACUCUAGCCUGGGCAACAAGAGUGAAACUCCGUCUCAAAAAACAAACAAACAAAAAAUUA
ensembl:lncRNA